UACAGAAAUAGGGCUAGAGGUCUACUAGAAACCAAACAAAGGCUUUUGAUUAAGACCCCUAGGUUAAAAGUAUUUAAUUAUUUACAUUGAUUGGUCAUGAUCAGAACUUAAAGUAAGUUUAAUAGAAAAAGAAAAAAGAAGAUGAGAUUGAAGAAUUUUUAUAAUGUUUCAAAUAAUGACAAACAUACAAAUAAUGACAAACAUACAUAUAAUAAAAUCUAUGUUUCCGAAUGCAACAGCAAGAAGUGGUUUUUUGAAUUUUUUUUGAAUGUGCAAUAGGAUUUUAAAUUUUUUAAGUCAGUAUUUAACUCAUUCCAGAUAUUUACACCCUUAUUUUGAAGUGAAUGUUUGACAAAAUUAGUUCUGGAGUAUGAUUUAUGAAGUUUGGAUGCGUUUCUUGUAUUGUGUUCAUGUAUUUUGUUGUUAGUAACAUAGUAAUUGGUAAAGUAUUUUGGUAAAUUAUCCAAGUAGUGAUAUCGAAACAUGAAUAAACUGAUCAGAAAGUCAUUAAUUUUUUCAAUGUUAAGAAUCUUUGCUUCAUUGAAUAGUGGUUCAGAAUGCUCAGAAUAUGACUUGAACAUCAUUAAUCGUAUUAUUUUUUUUUGAAUGUUUAUUAAUUUUUGUAGUCGUUUUUUAUAUGUGUUUCCCCAAAUCAAAUUUCCGUAUAUUAAAUAAGGAUAAACUAAAGCAUAAUAGACUAGUUUAAGAGUAUUAAAAUUUGUGAAAUGUCGAAUUUUGGAUAUUAUUCCUGUAGCUUUUAUAACUUUUUUCGUAAUUAAAUCAAUAUGAUCAUUCCAUGUUAAGUGUUCAUCAAUAACAACACCAAGGAAAGUUGUAUUCUUAACUUGUUUUAUUGGUUGUCCAUUUAUUGAUAUUAUUGUAUUAUGUUUAAUCCUUUUGUUUGAUGAUUUAAAUAAAAUAAAUUUUGUUUUAGUUGUGUUUAGUGAUAGUUUAUUACUGCUAAUCCAAUCUGCUAUUUUAUUUAUUUCGUCUUGCAUGAUUAAAUUUAACUCUUUUAAGCAAGAAUGGCUAUGGAAAAUAUUUGUGUCAUCUGCAAACAAUAUUUUGGAAACUAGUUUGCUGCAAUUUUGGAUAUCAUUUAUGUACAAUAAAAAUAAUAGUGGCCCCAAAAUUGAGCCUUGAGGAACACCACUAAUUAUUGUCAUUGCUUCAGACUUAGUGUCAUUAUACUUAACAAUUUGUUUUCUAUUGGCUAGAUAGUUCUCAAACCAUUUAAGAGCAACACCUCUAAUUCCAUAGUAUUCUAAUUUCUUAAUCAGGAUGCUAUGAUUAAUAGUAUCAAAUGCUUUUGACAAGUCAAGG